rnacentral:lncRNA from 1 species
GCAACACCAGUAGCACCAAAAACAAGCAGCGCUAGCACCUACACGAGUAGGAGUAAGUUUUUGCAAAUUGUGGGAAUGCAGUGCAGUGCACACACACCAGUGGCAACACACACGAGUAGCAGCACACAAAAGGUGGCAAGCAACCUUAUUCUUCACUACAGGAAGCAUUAUAAACAUUGUACCAUAGUGCAAAUUCAGGUAUGAUUGAAAAGAAAUUCAGAACAAGUUGUGGCACAAGUCCAUAACAUGAAGAACAUUCGUUGUUGGAAGAUUUUGAGGAGCACUCCCGCAGGAGAGGGCACAACGUAUUUUUAGUGCUGAGGCCUGGACUCAAAGCUCUGAAGUAGGGGAGGAGCUAUGGCCGAGAACCUUGAACUGUAGUGGAGACUGACUAAGGAGACGCACCAGCGACGAAUUCGGCUAUAGCUCUAACCGAUGAACUUCACGCGGAGGAGUAGUUGACCUGUCAUAGUAUGGGGGAGACAUCGAUGGGAGGAGGAGGAGGAGGGUCGCCCCGGUCGGCGACGAAGCUCUGGCUGGUGCUCUUCCUGACGAAUGCUGAGCUGCAGGCCGGGGAGGACCGCUCCUUGAUGGGCUUCAACUCCUUGAGGGCGAGCUGGUGGCGCGGAUCUGGGGGGCGACGGUAGUUGGGGAGGAGGCGGUGGAUCCGGGAGGCGACAGUGGUUGGGGAGGAGGUAGCGGAUCCGAGAGGCGGCGGUGGCAAGGGUCUUGAUAUUCUGGUCGAGGGCGGCGCACGUCACCAUCAUCGGCGGGGGUGGUUUGGUGGGUUGCGUGCGUUGCUAGUAGCGGGAGGGAUGCAUCCUCUGGGGUGCGUCGGUGGGAAACGAGGGGGUCAGGGUGGCU